rnacentral:rRNA from 1 species
UAGGGAAUAUUGGACAAUGGGCGCAAGCCUGAUCCAGCCAUGCCGCGUGCAGGAAGAAGGCUUUCUGAGUUGUAAACUGCUUUUGCCAGGGGAUAAAAAGUCCCUGCGGGGAAAAUUGAAGGUACCUGGUGAAUAAGCCACGGCUAACUACGUGCCAGCAGCCGCGGUAAUACGUAGGUGGCAAGCGUUGUCCGGAUUUAUUGGGUUUAAAGGGUGCGUAGGCGGUCCUGUAAGUCAGUUGUGAAAUACGGCAGCUUAACUGUCGAGGUGCAAUUGAUACUGCGGGACUAGAGUACUGAUGAGGUAAGCGGAAUGGACGGUGUAGCGGUGAAAUGCUUAGAUAUCGUCCAGAACACCGAUAGCGAAGGCAGCUUACUAAGGAGUAACUGACGCUGAGGCACGAAAGUGUGGGGAUCAAACAGG